GGGCCUAUAGCUCAGCUUAGGUCAGAGCGCACGCCUGAUAAGCGUGAGGUCGGUGGUUCGAAUCCACCUAGGCCCACCA
rnacentral:tRNA from 1 species